GGAUCCAGACUUUGAUUAUGGCUCAGGAUGAACGCUAGCUACAGGCUUAACACAUGCAAGUCGAGGGGAAACGACAUCGAAAGCUUGCUUUUGAUGGGCGUCGACCGGCGCACGGGUGAGUAACGCGUAUCCAACCUGCCCACCACUUGGGGAUAACCUUGCGAAAGUAAGACUAAUACCCAAUGAUAUCUCUAGAAGACAUCUGAAAGAGAUUAAAGAUUUAUCGGUGAUGGAUGGGGAUGCGUCUGAUUAGCUUGUUGGCGGGGUAACGGCCCCCCAAGGCAACGAUCAGUAGGGGUUCUGAGAGGAAGGUCCCCCACAUUGGAACUGAGACACGGUCCAAACUCCUACGGGAGGCAGCAGUGAGGAAUAUUGGUCAAUGGACGAGAGUCUGAACCAGCCAAGUAGCGUGCAGGAUGACGGCCCUAUGGGUUGUAAACUGCUUUUAUAAGGGAAUAAAGUGAGUCUCGUGAGACUUUUUGCAUGUACCUUAUGAAUAAGGACCGGCUAAUUCCGUGCCAGCAGCCGCGGUAAUACGGAAGGUCCGGGCGUUAUCCGGAUUUAUUGGGUUUAAAGGGAGCGUAGGCCGGAGAUUAAGCGUGUUGUGAAAUGUAGAUGCUCAACAUCUGAACUGCAGCGCGAACUGGUUUCCUUGAGUACGCACAAAGUGGGCGGAAUUCGUGGUGUAGCGGUGAAAUGCUUAGAUAUCACGAAGAACUCCGAUUGCGAAGGCAGCUCACUGGAGCGCAACUGACGCUGAAGCUCGAAAGUGCGGGUAUCGAACAGGAUUAGAUACCCUGGUAGUCCGCACGGUAAACGAUGGAUGCCCGCUGUUGGUCUGAAUAGGUCAGCGGCCAAGCGAAAGCAUUAAGCAUCCCACCUGGGGAGUACGCCGGCA
rnacentral:rRNA from 1 species